GAGAAUCGGGUCUGUGGUUGCAAGCCGAUGCCAGUCGCAGGCAAAACGGUCCACGUAAGUCAGCCAAAGCGCUGAUGAGCAUGGUGCGGUUUAGAAGUCAGUCCGACCGGGAUUCUUCCCGAGAGAGCGGCGUGAGGGCGUUUCCUACGCAGAGCAAAGCUCCAGUCGGCGGGUGUGGGGUCAAAGACCAGGUCAGCCGGUCAC
rnacentral:ncRNA from 1 species